rnacentral:rRNA from 1 species
GACGAACGCUGGCGGCGUGCUUAACACAUGCAAGUCGAGCGGAAAGGCUCCUUCGGGGUACUCGAGCGGCGAACGGGUGAGUAACACGUGAGUAAUCUGCCCUUGGCUUCGGGAUAACUACCGGAAACGGUGGCUAAUACCGGAUAUGACCACUCCUUGCAUGAGGUGGUGGUGGAAAGUUUUUUCGGCCAGGGAUGUGCUCGCGGCCUAUCAGCUUGUUGGUGGGGUAAUGGCCUACCAAGGCUUCGACGGGUAGCCGGCCUGAGAGGGUGACCGGCCACACUGGGACUGAGACACGGCCCAGACUCCUACGGGAGGCAGCAGUGGGGAAUAUUGGACAAUGGGCGGAAGCCUGAUCCAGCAACGCCGCGUGAGGGAUGACGGCCUUCGGGUUGUAACCGUUCUUCUAGUACCGUACGAA